GACGAACGCUGGCGGCGUGCCUAAUACAUGCAAGUAGAACGCUGAAGGAGGAGCUUGCUUCUCUGGAUGAGUUGCGAACGGGUGAGUAACGCGUAGGUAACCUGCCUGGUAGCGGGGGAUAACUAUUGGAAACGAUAGCUAAUACCGCAUAAUAGCAGUUGUUGCAUGACAACUGUUUGAAAGGUGCAAAUGCAUCACUACCAGAUGGACCUGCGUUGUAUUAGCUAGUUGGUGGGGUAAAGGCUCACCAAGGCGACGAUACAUAGCCGACCUGAGAGGGUGAUCGGCCACACUGGGACUGAGACACGGCCCAGACUCCUACGGGAGGCAGCAGUAGGGAAUCUUCGGCAAUGGACGGAAGUCUGACCGAGCAACGCCGCGUGAGUGAAGAAGGGUUUCGGAUCGUAAAGCUCUGUUGUAAGAGAAGAACGAGUGUGAGAGUGGAAAGUUCACACUGUGACGGUAGCUUACCAGAAAGAGACGGCUAACUACGUG
rnacentral:rRNA from 1 species